UGUCCAGUGCUCAGUAAAGAACCGCGCGGCCCCAGGCUUGCUUCCAGGCCUGUGCCUGCUCCAGCACUGCUGUUGCGGAGCGACCGGAUGUGUCCGUGAACGACGUGACCAGGCUGCUCAACAGGGAGGUGAUCGAGAGUGCGUAGGACAGCGCAAGGCCCACAAAACCUGCAGCCCAUGUGACCAACACCACCAGAAUUUAACACAUCUUUUUAUAUAGAGUAUACCGUGCAUUUCCAUUAAUUUGACCACGACGGAAGGUCCCGGCCAGCGCCCAUAAAUUUAUAUGGGAGCAAACUUUCGCUAUUUCGAUCUUUAAAUUAGCCUUUGUCGAGUAGUUCAAACUUGGCUGGUCAUCACGCGUGUGCCCAAGCCCAAUGGUGAGCGCAGUAAUGAUUCCAAUAGUGGCAGCAUCAGUCUUGGCGGUGCUUAGGGUACAGUGAAUCAUGCCGAACACAGUCAUCUCCCGUUAAAAACUCCUAUUUUUGGUUUGAACCAGGAAACAUUAAAACGAAAACAGCAGCUCACAAUAAAUCAUUACAGUAUUUACCCAACUGUAGCCCGCACCAUUUUUGCUAAGAAAAUUUGUCUGAAAACUGCUUGGGCAGUGUAAUCCAAUAUGAAACCAAAACCGCAUUUACAACAGUCUACCUACAGAGCCAGCCUAGCCACCGUCAUCGCCAUUACCAUCACAAGAUGGCGACCAUGAAUGGCAUCAUAAAGGUUAUAGAUGGCAUAGUGACAGAACAAGCAUAGAACGAGUUCGUGCGUAGUACGAUGACAAUGACAACGAUUCGCUGCUUUCUGUCUGAUCACGAAAGCAGUUAUCACUCGUUAACGCCUCACGCCAUCUUGUGUCGUACUGCGUAACUGUGAUGCCAACUUCCUCCCCCAAGUGGGUGCUAUGCAGGGAAGGCUGAUGCCAGGGUUUUCCGAUCACUCAAAUGCACUUCUGUUUGCAGAACCGCCCCUGUGAAUGACUUAGGCAUUGGAGUAUGACAUGUGCGAACAUUAUUUGGUCGGUAACGUUGUGUGGCAAUUACGACCUCCUCGAUUCUUCAGCAUGUUGCAUUCCUUGUAGUAUUUCCGUUAGCUGGCAUUCUGGUAUAAAAGGAGCAAGAAAUCUACUUUUUUGUGUUUUCACUG